rnacentral:tRNA from 1 species
GGCGUCGUGACGGAGUGGUUAACGUGAUUGACUCGAAUUCUCAGUUAUUCUCUCUCCACGUGAAGAGGAUAAUAAAUAAAUUAUAUAUCAAUUCCUUUCGGGGGCGCAUGUUCGAAUCAUGCCGACGUCG